rnacentral:rRNA from 1 species
AGUUGAUCAUGGCUCAGAACGAACGCUGGCGGCGCGUUUAAGCAUGCAAGUCGAGCGGUAAGCCGGAGCAAUCCGGCCUAGAGCGGCGGACGGGUGAGUAACACGUGGAUAAUCUGGCCUACAGUUGGGAUAGCCUGGUGAAAGCCAGGAUAAUACCGGAUACGACGGUUUGGUCACAAGACUGAAUCGGGAAAGGGGCUAAGGCCUCGCUGAAGGAUGAGUCCGCGUCCCAUUAGCUAGAUGGUGAGGUAAAGGCCCACCAUGGCGAUGAUGGGUAGCCGGCCUAAGAGGGUGAACGGCCACAUUGGGACUGAGAUACGGCCCAGACUCCUACGGGAGGCAGCAGCUAAGAAUCUUCCGCAAUGGUCGAAAGACUGACGGAGCGACGCCGCGUGAAUGAUGAAGGCCGUGAGGUUGUAAAGUUCUUUUCUGGAGGGAGAAUAAGUGUUGUAGGGAAUGACAACAUGAUGACGUGAAUCCAGGAAUAAGCCCCGGCUAACUACGUGCCAGCCGCGGC